GCCGGCAGCCAUAUCACCCUGCAGCUCAACACUGGUCACCCACUGAAGCUAAGCAGGGUUGAGCUGGUCAGUACCUGGAUGGGAGACUCCUGGGAAAACUAGGUUACUGCUGGAA
rnacentral:rRNA from 1 species